UACGAAGGGGGCUAGCGUUGUUCGGAAUUACUGGGCGUAAAGGGCGCGUAGGCGGUACUUCAAGUCAGGCGUGAAAGCCCCGGGCUCAACCUGGGAACCGCGCUUGAGACUGGAGAACUAGAGUUCGGGAGAGGAUGGUGGAAUUCCCAGUGUAGAGGUGAAAUUCGUAGAUAAUUGGGAAGAACACCGAUGGCGAAGGCAGC
rnacentral:rRNA from 1 species